rnacentral:lncRNA from 1 species
CUGACAACUUCAGAACACAGACUGGAAGGCCUCCAGCCUAUGACAUGAAGAAGGGCAACAUGUGACAAAGACUAGAGCUGUCGACCGUGUACAACCUGUGAGGUGAUUUGGAACAGGAAGGGUGACAAAGGAAAAUAAGCUCAUGGCGCAUCAGAGAAAACACCCCAGGGAGACCUACGGAACACAGCAAGGGAAAGCAAGCAUCAAUUCCAUGGGACCCUGAGAACCAACUUCGGUGGAACACUUUUAAAUGCUUCAUCUUUGCUCACAGGCUUCAGAUUUCUCCGUGAAAAGGAGCAGUGCACUCCAUCUGUGAGAAUCUGCUCUGAACAGGAGGAAGCACAUUUAAGUAGCCGAGGGCUCCCUGCUCAUUUUACCAGCAAGGGGUGCGUUCUCACGAAGGGCUCCAGAAUCACAUCAGAGUCCUGUCACCAACUCUACCCAUGGGAUAAAAGCAUAAGCAAUUGUUGAAGGAAAGCUUCCUACUGCUUAUGGCUCCGUGAGGGUAGAUGAGGUUCCCCUCUCCCUGUAGCCUCGGAGCACAAGAUCGAAGCAGAACAGAGCAGCCACAGAUGACCUCGAACUUCUGAACUUCCUACCUUUUAUUCCCCAAGGACCUAGAUCACCACAGGGUUGCAGCAUUAGGAAGACUGACAGCCACCUCUCUGAAGUGUCAGCCUGACAGGAAUGGAAUCACCUAAGAGACAAACCUCUCCACUUGUCUGUGAGGAUGCUUCCAGAAGAGUUAAACUGAAGAGAGAAGGCGCACCCUGACUCUGGGCAGUACCGUGCCAAGGGCCGAGGACCAUGACUGAAUAAAACGGAUCCGGUUGGUGAGCACGGGGAUUCAGCUCUCUGCU